UCGACAUUGUUCGCAAAUAUUAAAAUUUAUUCAUAAAUAUUUAAAAUUAUUUACCAAAUUCCUGUGUACGCGCCUGCAUCUUAAUGUUUAAGAUUUAAGGAGACUAUAUUACCUCCUAAUGUUAAUUUUUUUGGAAACAACCAGAUUCGAAUCCGGGAUACUCCAUAUCAAAAGCGAAUGCUUUGCGGCUGCGCUAUUAUGCGUAUGAACCUGAGAUACUUAUUAUCAAAAGUGAAUGCUAUGCGCUACUACAAUUUAUAUCGGAAAUGUAGAGAAAUCAUUGUCUCUUCCUGUCUUUUUUAAUCAUCUCAUCGACACCAAUGAUUAAGAUAGCAGAUAACUUUGAAGUGAUUAAAGAUGCUCUAAUAGCAGAUAUGUACCACGGCAGAUAUUUGGACACAUAACAGAAGAGCAUAUUUGGGAAUUACAGGCCAUUGACAUGACCCUAAAACUUUAAAAAGAGAUGCCAGACAUACGAUGUACUUGCAAAUAAAAUUUAUGAUUCACCCCAAUUUUAAAUUAAACUGGCCACAUAUCCAUUACGAUGAUGCUAAUGAUCAACGUGAUAAGCUCAUGGUAAAGCUAUAGUCUCAUACUAAACAAAGAUGCCCUAGUUACAACCACCGACUUUCACUGAUAAUUUUUUUGAAAUAGAAAAUCCUCUAGACGCGUAAAAAUAGGUAUAUAAAAUUAAAUAGCCUUGCCCUCAAGUGCUAGUGUCGAGAGCAUAUUUAGAGGAAAUUUACACUUUCUGAUAGUCUAGACUUGGGAAU